rnacentral:snRNA from 1 species
AAAACCCUAUAUUCUGGGGCUC